GAGAAGGUGCAUGAUUAGUAUUUAGUUUGUGUCAAUUAUCCUUCGAUGACACAGGUGCUUGUAUACCGGGGACUAGGCGCACUUGAGGAUUAUGCAGCCAUGUUGCUUAGGAUGCUCAAAUCCCUGUUAGAUCCCUCACAUCAUGACGUCCAUUUCAUUACACCGGAACAGAUUGUACAAGGCAACCUUAACUCCAAAGUCAGUGCCCUGGCUAUUGGCGGGGGGUAUGAUUUAGGACUUAUCGAGGCACUAGGGGAUACCGGAAUGUCGAAUAUCCAGUGCUUUGUGAGAUCUGGAGGGGCAUACUUCGGUGUAUGCUCGGGGGCAUACUUCGCCUGCAACAGGAUUGAGUUCGAUAAAGGAGGGCCCCUGGAAGUGGUCGGGGAACGGAAGCUGAGGUUCUUUCCAGGGGCAUGCAUUGGACCACUGUACAAACCAUAUGACUACAACAGUCGGAGUGGCUCAGUUGCUGCACACAUUGACUUCACCCCAACAGGGGUAUGUUUAGGAAUUGACUCACAGUCAGAAAUCAAUGAAGAUACAGAGAACGGAAGUGGUCUGCUUAUCAAAUCUCCGAAAAGAGCAGAAACUCCCAAGCUGAAUGUACUAAUUACAGAAUCUACCACAAAAAUAGAUCAAAAUACAGAAUCUCUCGCCCAAAAUGGACACAAUACAGAAUCUCCCAAGCAAACGGGACACAAAACAGAAUCUUCAAACCAAACAGGAUACAAUACAGAAUCUCCCAACCAAAUGGGACACAAUACAGAAUCUCCCAGCCAAAUGGGACACAAUACAGAAUCUCCCAGCCAAAUGGGAUACAAUACAGAAUCUCCCAGUCAAAUGGGACUUAAUACAGAAUCUCCUAAUCAAAAAAAGCAAAAUAUAGAAUCUUUAACCCAGAAUGGACCACUUAAUGGAAUACACUCUCCCAAUGUAAAUGGAACAGCAGACGAUGAUUUUCUGCCUGAUGUGCGUGGUGUUAUUUCAAGGUCAUAUUUCAGUGGAGGUGGUUACUUUAAGCUGGAAGUGGAUGAGAGAAGUUGUGAUGUGAAGAUUCUGUCAAGAUAUGUCGACCUGCCAGGUAAUCCAACAGCAGCAGUGCUGUGUGGGGUGGAAAAGGGUGUGGCUGUCCUGACAGGGUUACAUUUGGAGUGUACAGCCGCAGACAUUGAUGACGGGGAUAAAACUGUCGAAAACAUGAUCCCCAUAUUGAAACAGAAUGAGAAGAAAAAUACCUUCAUUUUGAAGAGUUUGCUUAAAGAAUUGAGACUAAAAGUGAAAUGAUUAUUUGUUUAAGACUAUUCUUAUCACUUUGAAAUGUACUAGUUGCAUUUGUAUAAUUAUUUUUACGCCCCUGAAGGGAGGCAUGUAGUAGUAGCAUUGUUUGUGUAUCUGUCGGCUGAUACCAAGAGUGGCAGCAUGAACAUGAGUCACCAUUAACCACUUCAGAGAAUUCUAGAGCAGAAUUGGAAGGUAUUCAGCAGGAGUUGUUUCUCAGGUUUUCCUCAAACUCUUACCUCAAAGGUCAUACAGUAAAACUGUGAUCGCUCGAGGUCGCCAGGGACCGAGCCAAAACCUCGAGGGAACUGAUGUUUCAAACGACCCGAUUUUCAAUUUUCCAGUUUGAUAUGAAAUAUCUUUCAUUGUAUUUUAAGUUUGAAGUCGUCAAACAGACUGUUUACAAAGACACUGAUUAUGUGUUGCGUUGUGGAAAUUGCUAAUAUGUUUAAAGGUUGACGUAAACUAAAUGUAAAACGCAAAAGAAAAAACAAUAAAUGAAUAAAUAGAAAUGUAUAUUUUAACAAAAAGCACAUUUUCGUAACAAGCAACAUUUGAAUGACAGUACAUAUUGUGGCAUUAGUCAGAUUUAAGUUUCGCAAAAUCAAGGAUUGUUGAUUGGCGCAUCUUGUUGGUUUCGCGAAACUGUUCAAUCGUAAUGUGACGUGACAGCGUACAGAGCGUCUGAAGAUCACGGUCAGCAUCGGCAGUGAAUUCAAAGAACCUUCUGACCACAUCUUAAGCAUUAAUUUCUCGUCAUUAACUUCUCAUAAUUAUCAUCCCAAAUGCCCAUAUCAACUAGUAUCGGUCAUGCAUUAACAGUGAAAAACGGUUUUUCACACCUUAUCAAAUUGCCUUUUAACUGUCAUUGUAAUUUUUACAACUUGCGAAAAGUUUAACACCUAGCAAUUGUUUGUUUAUUUUGGAACACGCUUUCGGGAAAAAGUGUGAAAUUAUGUCCUCGAGGGAGCCAUAAGGUUUUGUGCACGAUUUGUGUACUUGGGACCGAGGAUAUUGCUCGACUGCUCCACAUAAUUAGGUUUCGAUGCAGCGUGGGUAUAUUUUAUAUGAAAAUAGAUGGAAAAAAGUUCGGGACCAAGCCCGACCUCGAGGGAACGCCGGUUCUCGAACGACCACUUGUUUGAGGGAACGCAGUUUCACUUUCGCUCUGUAUCUCUUUCACACUAUGAAAGAUCUUCAUAUAACUCGGAUCAAAUAUUCACCACAUCCAGAUGAAGUGCAGAACUCGCAUUCAAGGCUCAAGUCAAGCCAGGAUAAAAUCAAUGUUGCAGAACUGGAAAAGAUGAGCAUUUCUAAAUAGCAAUAAACCCUUCAAUUCAUGUGCUGUGGUUGGGAAUAAGCAAUUGAACCAGAUCAG